rnacentral:rRNA from 1 species
AUUGAACGCUGGCGGCAGGCUUAACACAUGCAAGUCGAGCGGAGAGAGGUAGCUUGCUACCGAUCUUAGCGGCGGACGGGUGAGUAAUGCUUAGGAAUCUGCCUAUUAGUGGGGGACAACAUUUCGAAAGGAAUGCUAAUACCGCAUACGUCCUACGGGAGAAAGCAGGGGAUCUUCGGACCUUGCGCUAAUAGAUGAGCCUAAGUCGGAUUAGCUAGUUGGUGGGGUAAAGGCCUACCAAGGCGACGAUCUGUAGCGGGUCUGAGAGGAUGAUCUGCCACACUGGGACUGAGACACGGCCCAGACUCCUACGGGAGGCAGCAGUGGGGAAUAUUGGUCAAUGGGCGCAAGCCUGAUCCAGCCAUGCCGCGUGUGUGAAGAAGGCCUUAUGGUUGUAAAGCACUUUAAGCGAGGAGGAGGCUACUUUAGUUAAUACCUAGAGAUAGUGGACGUUACUCGCGGAACAAGCACCGGCUAACUCUGUGCCAGCAGCCGCGGUAACAC